rnacentral:rRNA from 1 species
UACGGAGGGGACUAGCGUUGUUCGGAAUUACUGGGCGUAAAGCGCACGUAGGCGGUUUUGUUAGUCAGGGGUGAAAUCCCGAGGCUCAACCUCGGAACUGCCUUUGAUACUGCAAAUCUCGAGUCCGGAAGAGGUGAGUGGAAUUCCUAGUGUAGAGGUGAAAUUCGUAGAUAUUAGGAAGAACACCAGUGGCGAAGGCGGCUCACUGGUCCGGUACUGACGCUGAGGUGCGAAAGCGUGGGGAGCAAACAGG